AACGCGAAGAACCUUACCCAGACUUGACAUGCUUGAGUAAGCCUGAGGAAACUCAGGCCCUGUCUUCGGACACCCUUGCACAGGUGGUGCAUGGCUGUCGUCAGCUCGUGCCGUGAGGUGUUGGGUUAAGUCCCGCAACGAGCGCAACCCUCGUUCUUAGUUGAUUUUCUAAGAAGACUGCCGGGAGAAACCUGGAGGAAGGUGGGGACGACGUCAAGUCAUCAUGCCCUUUAUGUCUGGGGCUACACACAUGCUACAAUGGCCGGUACAACGGGUCGCUACUCAGCGAUGAGAUGCCAAUCCCUUAAAGCCGGCCUCAGUUCGGAUUGGAGGCUGCAACUCGCCUCCAUGAAGUCGGAGUUGCUAGUAAACGCAGGUCAGCAUACUGCGUUGAAUAUGUUCCCGGGCCUUGUACACACCGCUACAGU
rnacentral:rRNA from 1 species